GUCACAACAAGCCGGUUUCUUGGCUUCCCAGAGAAGGUGAGGACCAUGGCAGGUCGGACCCUAGCUCUUCGAUAUGGGCCCCCUUGGUCUCCCAUUUCUGAAACUGAGGUACUUGGAACCUGGCCCAACUGGCAUCUCACCAGCAGCGGGGUUGCCCACCACUGGAUCCCACCGGCAUCCUUUCCUCUGCCUACUCUCCAGUCUAUGGUCAAGGUACCCCUGCCUGCAGUCUCGAAGCAGGACUCACACAUCUGGACUUUCGACAAAGUCAUCAGCAGAUGGGAAACCACCUCACAGUCUGCAUACACCCCCAAGACACACAGUGGCCCCUGUGCUCAGCCCAAGGCACCAGAGCACGAGGACCCCAGGCGGACACUUGGCAUCAAGUCUUUGGCAGAAAAGCUAAGAAGACAUGAGGGACGGGCUGUCCCCCUGAACACAAAAUGCCAGAUCAGUGAGACGAAGGCACGGUACAAGGGCUGGCCAGAUGUGGAUCAGAGUGCCCCCCUCUUUGCGGAUCCCCAGCCCCCAGAGCUCGCUGACCACCAUCACGGGGGACCUUCUCAGGCCCUCAUCCCCUGGACGAGGAACCCCGAGAUGGCUGGCCAACCCUUCACAGUGAACAAGAUGGGCAUCCUGGAUCGGCUUCAACCCUAUCAGACCAUUACUGCAAGUGACUUCACAAGGAACGUGUCUGGAUGUCCCCACCAGAAACCGGUGAUGGGCCUGAGCUGGCCGAGGAAGGCAUCCCACCGGGAUGGGGCAAGUUUACCGAGGGUGCGCCCAGCCCGGCCACGCCCAUCGCAGCCGUACCUGGGAGCCCUGUCUCUGACCCGGGAGUCCUACGGACCCUUGGUGCACCCGCUCUGUGGAAUGGACCGAAUUUGCCCAGUACAUGCAUCGUGGGGCAGCCCCCAUCGGAAGCCAGUGCUGGGCCUUUACAGUGUACCCAAGGCCUACUGCACUGAGAAUUCCCGCUAUGGGAGUGCCAGGGCGGAGCUGCUGUGA
rnacentral:lncRNA from 1 species